rnacentral:rRNA from 1 species
AUACGGGAGGCAGCAGUGAGGAAUAUUGCGCAAUGGGCGACAGCCUGACGCAGCGACGCCGCGUGGGGGAUGAAGGUCUUCGGAUUGUAAACCCCUUUCGGCAGGGAAGAUGGAACGGGCAACCGUUCGGACGGUACCUGCAGAAGCAGCCACGGCUAACUUCGUGCCAGCAGCCGCGGUAAUACGAAGGUGGCAAGCGUUGUUCGGAUUUACUGGGCGUACAGGGAGCGUAGGCGGUUGGGUAAGCCCUCCGUGAAAUCUCCGGGCCUAACCCGGAAAGGGCGGAGGGGACUGCUCGGCUAGAGGAUGGGAGAGGAGCGCGGAAUUCCCGGUGUAGCGGUGAAAUGCGUAGAGAUCGGGAGGAAGGCCGGUGGCGAAGGCGGCGCUCUGGAACAUUUCUGACGCUGAGGCUCGAAAGCGUGGGGAGCAAACAGGAUUAGAUACCCUGGUAGC